rnacentral:snRNA from 1 species
CAAAGCACUCAGCAUUGCUC